GACGAACGCUGGCGGCGUGCUUAACACAUGCAAGUCGAACGGAAAGGCCCUGCUUUUGUGGGGUGCUCGAGUGGCGAACGGGUGAGUAACACGCGAGUAACCUGCCCUUGACUUUGGGAUAACUUCAGGAAACUGGGGCUAAUACCGGAUAGGAGCUCCUGCUGCAUGGUGGGGGUUGGAAAGUUUCGGCGGUUGGGGAUGGACUCGCGGCUUAUCAGCUUGUUGGUGGGGUAGUGGCUUACCAAGGCUUUGACGGGUAGCCGGCCUGAGAGGGUGACCGGCCACAUUGGGACUGAGAUACGGCCCAGACUCCUACGGGAGGCAGCAGUGGGGAAUAUUGCACAAUGGGCGGAAGCCUGAGGCAGCAACGCCGCGUGCGGGAUGACGGCCUUCGGGUUGUAAACCGCUUUCGCCUGUGACGAAGCGUGAGUGACGGUAAUGGGUAAAGAAGCACCGGCUAACUACGUG
rnacentral:rRNA from 1 species